rnacentral:miRNA from 1 species
GAGCUCCGGUCAGCUGACACAUCCCGGCCAAUCUCCAGCAGACCCUCUCUCCCAGACCCUCCCACCUCCUGGACAGCAUCCAUGUUGAAGCUGCCUUCAACAUGGAUGCUGUCCAGGAGGUGGGAGGGUCAGGGAGGGUCUGCUGGAGAUUGGCAGGGAUGUGUCAGCUGACCGG